rnacentral:rRNA from 1 species
UACGGGGGGGGCAAGCGUUGUUCGGAAUUACUGGGCGUAAAGGGCUCGUAGGCGGCCAACUAAGUCGGAUGUGAAAUCCCCAGGCUCAACUUGGGAACUGCAUCCGAUACUGGAUGGCUUGAAUCCGGGAGAGGGAUGCAGAAUUCCAGGUGUAGCGGUGAAAUGCGUAGAUAUCUGGAGGAAUACCGGUGGCGAAGGCGGCAUCCUGGAUCAGCACUGACACUCAGGCACGAAAGCGUGGGGAGCAAACAGG